rnacentral:lncRNA from 1 species
AAAGGAGCUGUCCUGGAGAGCUGACAUCGCUCACCCAUGCCCCUGCAAAGCUCUCUACCUACGCUUCCCCACUUUGCUUUUUCCAGCAAUUCAGACAAGCAAUCUCAUAAAGUGUUGGGGCUGCCUUUAGGUUGUAGUUAAAAAUUUCCAGCAGAUUGGUCACACAUCCUAUGAUAAACAAUAGCCUCCUAUGAGCUGUGAUAUCUUACGUUUGCAAGCCAGUGUGUGCAUGUGUGUGGAAAAAAAUCACCGGUUAUGCUGAGCAACGCUGCCCGACCACAGGGCCAUUUCUGCAGAAUUCUCUUUCCUGGGGCCAUCCCCCUUCAGGUCAGUGACUAAACGCAUCAGAACAGCAUCUGGCAGGGGUGCUUUGCUGCAGAGCUUAAUAUGCAACUAGUGUUUUUCCUCCUGUGUCAGCAGUUAGACAAGGAUUUGGUAAAUAAGGGUUCCAGGGAGGCAAAUGCUCUGUCAGCCAGGGGAAGAAGAGGAGAAAGUUUUGAAAUCCACUCUGUGGUGGCUGUAAGAGAUCCACACUGACAAGCCUGCUUAGACCAGUGCUCCUAAGUGUUCCUGUCUUGAUGGAUUAGCUUGGCCAGGACAAGUUUACACAUCACUGGAGAAGUGUGAAGAGGGAGUGCGGAUGGAAAAAAAAUAGAGACACAAGAAGAGGUUUAUAAUGUUUGAAAUUAGGCAGCCCAGCCCGGAACUUUCCAUAAAAACUUUCUCCUGGCUCCUCCUCUUUCCUCCCUUUUAUUGCCAGAGUAUCUGAAUGGGCAAGCCUGCCUUGCUGUUUCCAUUACUCAAACACACACUUGGGUUUAAAGGGUGUGAGAACCACCCUACUUGCCCAUGUAGGGCUUUAAAAAAACAAAACAAAACAG